rnacentral:rRNA from 2 species
AAAUUGAAGAGUUUGAUCAUGGCUCAGAUUGAACGCUGGCGGCAGGCCUAACACAUGCAAGUCGAACGGUAACAGGAAGCAGCUUGCUGCUUCGCUGACGAGUGGCGGACGGGUGAGUAAUGUCUGGGAAACUGCCUGAUGGAGGGGGAUAACUACUGGAAACGGUGGCUAAUACCGCAUAACGUCGCAAGACCAAAGAGGGGGACCUUCGGGCCUCUUGCCAUCAGAUGUGCCCAGAUGGGAUUAGCUUGUUGGUGAGGUAACGGCUCACCAAGGCGACGAUCCCUAGCUGGUCUGAGAGGAUGACCAGCCACACUGGAACUGAGACACGGUCCAGACUCCUACGGGAGGCAGCAGUGGGGAAUAUUGCACAAUGGGCGCAAGCCUGAUGCAGCCAUGCCGCGUGUAUGAAGAAGGCCUUCGGGUUGUAAAGUACUUUCAGCGGGGAGGAAGGUGUUGCGGUUAAUAACCGCAGCAAUUGACGUUACCCGCAGAAGAAGCACCGGCUAACUCCGUGCCAGCAGCCGCGGUAAUACGGAGGGUGCAAGCGUUAAUCGGAAUUACUGGGCGU